rnacentral:rRNA from 1 species
GCUAAUACCGCAUAACAACGUUGUUCGCAUGAACAACGCUUAAAAGAUGGCUUCUCGCUAUCACUUCUGGAUGGACCUGCGGUGCAUUAGCUUGUUGGUGGGGUAAUGGCCUACCAAGGCGAUGAUGCAUAGCCGAGUUGAGAGACUGAUCGGCCACAAUGGGACUGAGACACGGCCCAUACUCCUACGGGAGGCAGCAGUAGGGAAUCUUCCACAAUGGGCGCAAGCCUGAUGGAGCAACACCGCGUGAGUGAAGAAGGGUUUCGGCUCGUAAAGCUCUGUUGUUAAAGAAGAACACGUAUGAGAGUAACUGUUCAUACGUUGACGGUAUUUAACCAGAAAGUCACGGCUAACUACGUGCCAGCAGCCGCGGUAAUACGUAGGUGGCAAGCGUUAUCCGGAUUUAUUGGGCGUAAAGAGAGUGCAGGCGGUUUUCUAAGUCUGAUGUGAAAGCCUUCGGCUUAACCGGAGAAGUGCAUCGGAAACUGGAUAACUUGAGUGCAGAAGAGGGUAGUGGAACUCCAUGUGUAGCGGUGGAAUGCGUAGAUAUAUGGAAGAACACCAGUGGCGAAGGCGGCUACCUGGUCUGCAACUGACGCUGAGACUCGAAAGCAUGG